GCCGAAGUGGUGAAAUUGGUAGACACGCUAUCUUGAGGGGGUAGUGGCCUUCUGGUCGUGCCGGUUCAAGUCCGGCCUUCGGCACCA
rnacentral:tRNA from 4 species